rnacentral:rRNA from 1 species
UACGGGGGGGGCAAGCGUUGUUCGGAAUUACUGGGCGUAAAGGGCUCGUAGGCGGCCAACUAAGUCAGACGUGAAAUCCCUCGGCUUAACCUGGGAACUGCGUCCGAUACUGGUGGGCUCGAAUCCGGGAGAGGGAUGCGGAAUUCCAGGUGUAGCGGUGAAAUGCGUAGAUAUCUGGAGGAACACCGGUGGCGAAGGCGGCAUCCUGGACCGGUAUUGACGCUGAGGCGCGAAAGCCAGGGGAGCAAAGCGGGG